UACGAAGGGGGCUAGCGUUGUUCGGAAUUACUGGGCGUAAAGCGCACGUAGGCGGGUUGUUAAGUCAGGGGUGAAAUCCUGGAGCUCAACUCCAGAACUGCCUUUGAUACUGGCAACCUAGAGACUGGAAGAGGUUAGUGGAAUUCCCAGUGUAGAGGUGAAAUUCGUAGAUAUUGGGAAGAACACCAGUGGCGAAGGCGGCUAACUGGUCCAGAUCUGACGCUGAGGUGCGAAAGCGUGGGGAGCAAACAGG
rnacentral:rRNA from 1 species